ACCUACGGGGGGCAGCAGUGAGGAAUAUUGGUCAAUGGUCGGGAGACUGAACCAGCCAAGCCGCGUGAGGGAUGAAGGUACAGAGUAUCGUAAACCUCUUUUGUCAGGGAACAAAGGCGGGGACGCGUCCCCGGAUGAGUGUACCUGAAGAAAAAGCAUCGGCUAACUCCGUGCCAGCAGCCGCGGUAAUACGGAGGAUGCGAGCGUUAUCCGGAUUUAUUGGGUUUAAAGGGUGGGCAGGCGGUCUGUUAAGUCAGCGGUCAUAGCCCAGGGCUCAACCCCGCCCCGCCGCUGAAUCUGGCAGU
rnacentral:rRNA from 1 species